rnacentral:rRNA from 1 species
CCUACGGGGGGCAGCAGUGAGGAAUAUUGGUCAAUGGGCGGGAGCCUGAACCAGCCAAGUCGCGUGAGGGAAGACGGUCCUAUGGAUUGUAAACCUCUUUAGGCGGGGAGCAAUGCCGGGCACGCGUGCCCGGAGGGAGAGUACCCGCAGAAUAAGCAUCGGCUAACUCCGUGCCAGCAGCCGCGGUAAUACGGAGGAUGCGAGCGUUAUCCGGAUUUAUUGGGUUUAAAGGGUGCGUAGGCGGGUUAUCAAGUCAGCGGUAAAAUCGUGGAGCUCAACUCCAUCCAGCCGUUGAAACUGAUGAUCUUGAGUGGGCGAGAAGUAUGCGGAAUGCGUGGUGUAGCGGUGAAAUGCAUAGAUAUCACGCAGAACUCCGAUUGCGAAGGCAGCAUACCGGCGCCCGACUGACGCUGAAGCACGAAAGCGUGGGUAUCGAACAGGAUUAGAUACCCGGGUAGUC